GGCUAACGCUGGCGGCGUGUCUUAGCCAUGCAAGUCGUGGGAGAAACUCCCCUUCGGGGGAGGAGUAAACCGGCGGACGGCGGAGUAACACGUGACUAACCUGUCCUCUGGUGGGGGAUAACGCGCCGAAAGGCGUGCUAAUACCUCAUACAGCCUCCUUGGGGCAUCCUGGGGAGGUGAAAGCUGGCCUCUGCUUAGCAAGCUGGCGCCGGAGGAGGGGGUCGCGGCCUAUCAGGUAGUUGGUGGGGUAAAGGCCCACCGAGCCUGUGACGGGUAGCCGGCGUGAGAGCGUGGCCGGCCCGAGGGGCACUGAGACACGGGCCCCACUCCUACGGGAGGCAGCAGGCUAGAAAUUUGGGCAAUGGGGGAAACCCUGACCCAGUGACGCCGCGUGCGGGAUGAAGCCCUUCGGGGUGUAAACCGCUGUCAGGGAGGGCGAUGGGAUCGUCUGUGAAGAGCAGUCGACCUUGACGGUACUCUCAGAGGAAGCCCAGGCUAACCUCGUGCCAGCAGCCGCGGUAAUACGGGGUGGGCAAGCGUUGCCCGGAAUCACUGGGCUUAAAGGGGAUGUAGGCGGCCCGGUAAGUCGGGCGUGUAAUCUGACGGCUCAACCGUCAGGCUGCGCUCGAAACUGUCGGGCUUGAGGACGGCAGAGGAGAGCGGAACUCCCGGUGUAGCGGUGAAAUGCGUAGAUAUCGGGGGGAACGCCAGUGGGGAAGCCGGCUCUCUGGGCCGCUCCUGACGCUGAGGUCCGAAAGUCAGGAUAGCGAAGGGGAUUAGAUACCCCCGUAGUCCUGGCCGUAAACGAUGGGUGCUAGGUGUGGGGAACUUUUGUUCUCCGUGCCGCAGGGAAACCGUUAAGCACCCCGCCUGGGGAGUACGCCCGCAAGGGUGAAACUCAAAGGAAUUGACGG
rnacentral:rRNA from 1 species